AUUGAACGCUGGCGGCAGGCCUAACACAUGCAAGUCGAGCGGAUGAAGGGAGCUUGCUCCUGGAUUCAGCGGCGGACGGGUGAGUAAUGCCUAGGAAUCUGCCUGGUAGUGGGGGAUAACGUCCGGAAACGGGCGCUAAUACCGCAUACGUCCUGAGGGAGAAAGUGGGGGAUCUUCGGACCUCACGCUAUCAGAUGAGCCUAGGUCGGAUUAGCUAGUUGGUGGGGUAAAGGCCUACCAAGGCGACGAUCCGUAACUGGUCUGAGAGGAUGAUCAGUCACCCUGGAGCUGAGACACGGCCCUGGCUCCUACGGGAGGCAGCGGUGGGGAAUAUUGGACAAUGGGCGAAAGCCUGAUCCAGCCAUGCCGCGGGUGUGAAGAAGGUCUGCGGAUUGUAAAGCACUUUAAGUUGGGAGGAAGGGCAGUAAGUUAAGACCUUGCUGUUUUGACGUAACCAACAGAAUAGGCACCGGCUACCUUCGG
rnacentral:rRNA from 1 species